GACGAACGCUGGCGGCGUGCUUAACACAUGCAAGUCGAACGGAAAGGCCCUGCUUUUGUGGGGUGCUCGAGUGGCGAACGGGUGAGUAACACGUGAGUAACCUGCCCUUGACUUUGGGAUAACUUCAGGAAACUGGGGCUAAUACCGGAUAGGAGCUCCUGCUGCAUGGUGGGGGUUGGAAAGUUUCGGCGGUUGGGGAUGGACUCGCGGCUUAUCAGCUUGUUGGUGGGGUAGUGGCUUACCAAGGCUUUGACGGGUAGCCGGCCUGAGAGGGUGACCGGCCACAUUGGGACUGAGAUACGGCCCAGACUCCUACGGGAGGCAGCAGUGGGGAAUAUUGCACAAUGGGCGGAAGCCUGAUGCAGCAACGCCGCGUGCGGGAUGACGGCCUUCGGGUUGUAAACCGCUUUCGCCUGUGACGAAGCGUGAGUGACGGUAAUGGGUAAAGAAGCACCGGCUAACUACGUGCCAGCAGCCGCGGUGAUACGUAGGGUGCGAGCGUUGUCCGGAUUUAUUGGGCGUAAAGGGCUCGUAGGUGGUUGAUCGCGUCGGAAGUGUAAUCUUGGGGCUUAACCCUGAGCGUGCUUUCGAUACGGGUUGACUUGAGGAAGGUAGGGGAGAAUGGAGUUCCUGGUGGAGCGGUGGAAUGCGCAGAUAUCAGGAGGAACACCAGUGGCGAAGGCGGUUCUCUGGGCCUUUCCUGACGCUGAGGAGCGAAAGCGUGGGGAGCGAACAGGCUUAGAUACCCUGGUAGUCCACGCUGUAAACGGUGGGUACUAGGUGUGGGGUCCAUUCCACGGGUUCCGUGCCGUAGCUAACGCUUUAAGUACCCCGCCUGGGGAGUACGGCCGCAAGGCUAAAACUCAAAGGAAUUGACGGGGCCCCGCACAAGCGGCGGAGCAUGCGGAUUAAUUCGAUGCAACGCGUAGAACCUUACCUGGGUUUGACAUGGAUCGGGAGUGCUCAGAGAUGGGUGUGCCUCUUUUGGGGUCGGUUCACAGGUGGUGCAUGGCUGUCGUCAGCUCGUGUCGUGAGAUGUUGGGUUAAGUCCCGCAACGAGCGCAACCCUUGUUCACUGUUGCCAGCACGUUAUGGUGGGGACUCAGUGGAGACCGCCGGGGUCAACUCGGAGGAAGGUGGGGAUGACGUCAAGUCAUCAUGCCCCUUAUGUCCAGGGCUUCACGCAUGCUACAAUGGCUGGUACAGAGAGUGGCGAGCCUGUGAGGGUGAGCGAAUCUCGGAAAGCCGGUCUCAGUUCGGAUUGGGGUCUGCAACUCGACCUCAUGAAGUCGGAGUCGCUAGUAAUCGCAGAUCAGCAACGCUGCGGUGAAUACGUUCCCGGGGCU
rnacentral:rRNA from 1 species